UAGGACGAGGAGGCCACCAGAUGAAAAUUUUCACUUAUUUGCAGGUCGCGUAAGCACUAGCGCAACAUCAUUCACUGAUUUGCUCGCUUCUUCUUGUGAGGGUAUAUGUGCAAGCACCUACUUCCACUCACAUUAUAUAUCGUUGAAUUCCUUGUUGAAUCAUUUCAAUCACGCACUCGGAUCAUAUGAUCAAUUCAUCAUGAUGAAAAGGUAAAUUGGCUCUUGGAUUGAUGCUUCAUAAUAUGUUUGUAGACUCACCGCUUGCAUUGAACUACCUCCACAGAGCUUUCUUGAUGGAGAACAAUAACCAAUACUUUCCUCAUCCAUCGGCAUGGAUCGAUCCGAAUCCCAUAUCAUCCGAUGACAAUAACAUCCCAACGUGGGUUAUUGUGGUUAUUGUUGGUUUAGUCAUUGUUACCGUAAUGCUUUGUGGUUUCCUUUUCUAUUGCAUCCGAUGGGGGGGGAAGCCGGGUCAGCAGGGGGAGAAAGGG
rnacentral:lncRNA from 1 species